rnacentral:tRNA from 1 species
GCGCUCGUGGCGUAAUUGGUAGCCGCGCUAGACUUAGGAUCUAGUGCCGAGAGGCGUAGGGGUUCGAGUCCCCUCGAGCGCA